AACGAACGCUGGCGGCAUGCCUAACACAUGCCAGUCGAACGAGACCUUCGGGUCUAGUGGCGCACGGGUGCGUAACGCGUGGAACCUGCCCUUAGGUUCGGAAUAACUCCCCGAAAGGGGUGCUAAUACCGGAUAAUGUCUUCGGACCAAAGAUUUAUCGCCUUUGGAUGGGCCCGCGUUGGAUUAGCUAGUUGGUAGGGUAAAAGCCUACCAAGGCGACGAUCCAUAGCUGGUCUGAGAGGAUGAUCAGCCACACUGGGACUGAGACACGGCCCAGACUCCUACGGGAGGCAGCAGUGGGGAAUAUUGGACAAUGGGCGAAAGCCUGAUCCAGCAAUGCCGCGUGAGUGAUGAAGGCCUUAGGGUUGUAAAGCUCUUUUACCCGGGAUGAUAAUGACAGUACCGGGAGAAUAAGCUCCGGCUAACUCCGUG
rnacentral:rRNA from 1 species